UACGUAGGGCGCGAGCGUUGUCCGGAUUUAUUGGGCGUAAAGAGCUCGUAGGCGGCUUGUCGCGUCAACUGUGAAAACCCGUGGCUCAACCAUGUGGUCUGCAGUCGAUACGGGCAGGCUAGAAUUCGGUAGGGGAGACUGGAAUUCCUGGUGUAGCGGUGAAAUGCGCAGAUAUCAGGAGGAACACCGGUGGCGAAGGCGGGUCUCUGGGCCGAUAUUGACGCUGAGGAGCGAAAGCGUGGGGAGCGAACAGG
rnacentral:rRNA from 1 species